rnacentral:tRNA from 1 species
GCGUGUGUAGCUCAAUUGGUUAGAGUGUAUCCUUGCCAAGGAUGAGGUUGCGGGUUCGAGUCCCGUCACGCGCU